rnacentral:rRNA from 1 species
UGGGGAAUAUUGGACAAUGGGCGCAAGCCUGAUCCAGCAAUGCCGCGUGUGUGAAGAAGGUCUUCGGAUUGUAAAGCACUUUCGGCGGGGACGAUGAUGACGGUACCCGCAGAAGAAGCCCCGGCUAACUUCGUGCCAGCAGCCGCGGUAAUACGAAGGGGGCUAGCGUUGCUCGGAAUGACUGGGCGUAAAGGGCGCGUAGGCGGUUUGUUGAGUUGGGCGUGAAAUUCCUGGGCUUAACCUGGGGGCUGCGUUCAAUACCAACAGGCUUGAGUGCGGAAGAGGGUCGUGGAAUUCCCAGUGUAGAGGUGAAAUUCGUAGAUAUUGGGAAGAACACCGGUGGCGAAGGCGGCGACCUGGUCCGUGACUGACGCUGAGGCGCGAAAGCGUGGGGAGCAAA